rnacentral:rRNA from 1 species
UACGAAGGGGGCUAGCGUUGUUCGGAUUUACUGGGCGUAAAGCGUGCGUAGGUGGUCUCGUAAGUCAGAUGUGAAAUCCCCGGGCCUAACCUGGGAACUGCGUUUGAAACUACAAGGCUAGAGUGUAGCAGAGGGGGGUGGAAUUCCACGUGUAGCAGUGAAAUGCGUAGAGAUGUGGAGGAACACCGAUGGCGAAGGCAGCCCCCUGGGUUAACACUGACGCUCAGGCACGAAAGCGUGGGGAGCAAACAGG